rnacentral:misc_RNA from 1 species
ACUGAAACGUCAAGCGAAAUGUUUUAUCUUCAGUAAGUUUCUGACGCUUUUACGAUGGAAAUCGUUCGUAUUUCACGUUCGAUUGGCCUGGUUUUACCGAGAGAGGCUCCAAGCAAGCGUGUACUGGCAUUGUAACGAGUCUUAAGUGCGGUCUUUGUAGCUCCAUUAACGUCUCCGGCAAGUUUCGCAUGACACUCUCUCAUUCACUCGAUUACUGAACGCGAAGCAUAAACGGGGCCGUUGCUGGAAACUGCUGCCACCGGGAACGACAAUUCAGACAAUUAAUGCAGCUUUGCCGUGUUUUUUGCAAAAGUAUGCAGAAGGUUUUCUUGCUAGGAGCAAGACACGCGUCCGUGCAGUGCCUCGGCACGAGAUGAACGAUAUAUGGCUACAGGCUGAAUCAAUACCACGGGCCAAUAGCAAAAAUCGUAUUAAUUGAACGUAAUAAUCGCAA